rnacentral:lncRNA from 1 species
UAAUUACAAGUUCUUUUAAGAUUUCAAUGGAUUCGUUUGGCGAAAAAUAAGCACAUAUGUAUACAAUAUAUAAUAUAUUUCUAAUAUGCAGUGCCAAUUUUAAUAUCCUAAAUAUUACUAAUUUCCUUAAAUGGUGUCCGUUUGCCCCACAGUUACCUUAUAUAGGAGAGAACGUAAGUGUAAGAUAGAGCGGGCGAAAUUCAAAAAUUACGAAGUCGAAUCUAUUCCACAACAGAAUAUAAUUAACAGCAGCUUACAAGUUAGUCCCGCUCUACCACAUAUUUCAAAGCGGUCUCGUAUAGUAAUAACGCGUAAUGGAACUUGCAGGUGGUUUACGUAACGCAGCCUUCAAUGCACUCUGCAAGGUUGAUGCAAAUAUUCAUCUAAAUAUUUUUUCGAUGAUUUUUUGCAAGUUUUAAAGGUGAGCUGAUACCGUAUUGUAGGGCAUGUACAUGCCCUUAAACUAAACCUACCUUGAACCUUAUCAGGCGUAUUGAUCCACGAAGUAAGUUUAUGACAAUAUUUCUUUGCUUCAUCUUCUUUCGCUUUCUUUUCUUUGCGCUUUUGCGCUCCACUUGGAUAUACACGUUUCAUAUUUUCACUUUUGGCCAAAAAAUCAAUAAAUGGAAAGAAUAAAUAAAAUAAAACGUCUAUUUUAUUACUCGUAAUUCAAAUCUUCUCAAUUUUAUUUUCAAUAUGUCAAAGCUGUUUCGGUACACCGUACUUUCUCAG